UCGAGAUUCGGUGUGGGCCGAAUGCUAUCCAAACACACUGUCAGUGCAGGGUCAGGGUGGACAAAUACCAACUCUGUCGCCCGCGCGGCCACUGGCGGGGCAUUCCACGAUAGAUCGACCAAGGCCUAACACCCGACCAUUUUUGAUUUUGAUGAAAUCUUGUCUAUAGGGUUCUCUUAUGCCCUGAAGUCAAUGGUGACAACGCCAGGCCCCUACGGUCAGCGGUUUAGGAGAUAUAGCCCCGGGCAUUUUGACGAGGUCACUCUGCAGAGUGAUUUUUGAGGUGCUAUAUCUCCUAAAGUAAUGAAGGAAAUGCAUAAAACCUGUACAUCGUUGUGAUGGCGGUGAAAUGAGCAAUUUAUUGGCUAUCUCGGAUUUCCAAAAAAGUUAUUUUGAUUUUUAGCUGUGACGUCAUCAAUUUUUAAAUUUUCUGGCUACCCCCCUAGUACAUUAAAAUUUGUCAUUAUUUUUGCUCAGAAAUAUAGAUCGGUCAAGUUUCUUUUGACUGUCAAAAAAUAAAAAUGGUAAUCUUUCUAUAAAUAUUUUAUUUUAUUUUUUGAAAACAACUCUGUAAUAUGAAAUUUGCAUACAUUUGCUCUGAAACGACAAAUAGGUGCAGCUGGCACGGACAGUGGAAGGACUGGAUUUAUAAAACACCUAAAUAAUAUUUUCUUGAAUAUUUUUCGCAACUGGAACAAAGCGUAAGAUAUUUUAAUUUAACAUUCUGUAUUUCCCAAAAGUAUGAUUUAAAUUGAUCGAGCGUUACAAUAACGUAAAACAAUGUAGUUUGUUUAUAGUAAUGAGUGCAGACGAUCAAGGGGAAAACCCUUGAAGCUGAGUCCGAGUUACUGUGAUACAAUUGUGCCCUAGUUGCGACCCACCCGCUGUGAACAAACAAUGGGGGAACACUACACCGCCUGGUCGGUAUCGCUCCGUGACAAACACCCCUCCCCCGGCGCGUCGGUCCACAGCCCACACGAUCCGCCAGACAAAGACGUUAUCAUCGGAGACGCAAGCAAUUUGCGUGUCAGUCUGGUGAAGGGCUGUGCCAGAGACGGUCUGAAGACUGCGCCAUGACCAGGAAUUAUUGUGCUGACCCAUUCAAGCGUCACAAAAGAAAAAUAAGCCGACAGGUUCGGCUUGCAAGCAAGAGUUUGAUCGAUCAGGUGAACGAUCCGCGGCUAAAGGAAGGCGACUACCUGUGUAUAGAUUGUAAGGUCAGGCUGACAAAACGACCAAAAAGUUUACCCGUGGAGGAAAGUUUGGUGUCACAGCCCCAAAGUGAUUCUGGAAGUCAAGAUGAAGAUCAUUCAGCACCAUCGGCAGACACAUCACUCUCUGAGGUGGAGGUCAACCGACAAAUCACGGAAGACGUGCUCCCUCUUCUUGGCGUAUCUCCUCUAACGACAAGUAAGUAAAAAAUUUCUUACCUUUUUUCUUCCCAGCGUGUGUAACUAGUUUCACCAGCGCUAAAAAAACAAGUGUGUGUGUGAGUGUGUGUGUGUGUGUGUGUGUGUGUGUGUGUGUGUGUGUGUGUGUGUGUGUGUGUGUGUGUGUGUGUGUGUGUGUGUGUGCGUGUGCGUGUGCGCGUGCGUGCGUGCGUGCGUGUGUGUGUGUGUGUGUGUGUGAAAUCUGACCUGUAUUGAGACGAAGUUGAGCUUCGGCAGUUGAUAUCUAUGCUGAAAAGAAGUCAUAUUUCUUUCACGUGUAGCAAAGCUCAGAAAAUAACGGCUCCAUUAUGACCUUUACAGAAGGAAAAAACGAGCCGGAGAAGCGUGGUUCUGCGUCUGAAAAGCUGAAAAGGGCGUCAACGUCGCUGAAGCGGAAGUUUCAGCGUGCUUUGCAGACGGACAUCCCGACGCCUGAAGGAACGCCUGCCAAGAGACGGAAAGCUGCUGACGACGACGAAUUAGCCCGGUAUCGACAGCUGAUGCAGGAGUUGAAGGAAACAUAUCAGUCCACGACGGACUACAAGAAGCGGCUGUCUAUUCUGACGCUCUCGCCGUACCGGAUCGACGAGACGGCGAAGUUCUUCGGCGCCAGCACGUACAUGGCUUCUACGUUCUGCCUGACAUCGGCGCCGACAGUAGAGGCCGUCGCAUCAGCGAGGACAAUCAGAUGAAAGUUCGGCAAUUUUAUGAGUCGGACGAAGUAAGUAGAAUGCUACCAGGCAAGAAAGACUAUGUAACUGUUCGUAAAAAGGAUGGGUCAAAGGAGAAGUUGCAGAAACGAUUGGUCCUUGGCAGUCUCACGGAAAUUUAUGAACUUUACAAAAAAGAUCAAAGCAACCCAAAGAUAGGAUUUUCUCGUUUUGCUGCGCUUCGCCCAAGAAAUUGCGUGUUGGCAGGAAGUGCUGGCACGCAUGCCGUGUGCGUAUGUACUUAUCACCAAAACCCCAAACUUCUCAUCGCCGCCUUAGACCUCGGCAAACUGACCUAUCAUGACCUCAUGAAUCACUGUGUGUGCGAUGUAACCAAUCGGCAGUGCAUGAUGAAUGAGUGCACGGAGUGUCCUGGUGAGGCGGGUAUAUAUGGUUUCUUGAAAGCCAUGACGAGCGACGGUGAUGACAGCGACGAAGAAGACGACGAUGACGCGGAAGUUAGGUACAGGCAGUGGGAAAGCACAGACAGGUGCACGCUUAUCGAGAAAGUGGAAACGCGCGGCGAAUGUGUCAGAUUGUUAUGUAGGCAAAUACGAGCGCUGACAGUGCACCACUAUCGGGCCCAUACUCAGAGUGCGUAUUUCGCGCAGCUCAAGGACAGUGCACCAGACGGAGAGGUGGUCAUACAAGGCGACUUCUCAGAGAACUUCUCCUUCACUGUCCAAGACGAGGCCCAAGGAUUCCAUUGGGACACCUCGCAGUGCACAAUACAUCCCUUUGUCGCAUACUGGCGGGACCAGGGCGAAGUGCAUCAUAAGAGCUUUUGUUGUAUCACGGAUGAUAGGAAACAUGAUCCCGCUAUGGUGCAUGUAUUUUGUGACGAAGUUGUUCGAGAGAUCCGUGGCGUUGUUCCGCAGCUCACGAAGGUUCACUACUUUACGGACGGCUGUGCAGCCCAGUAUAAGAACCGGUACAAUUUUGUAAAUAUCUGCCAUCAUGAGGAGGAUUUUGGUGUGAAGUGUGAAUGGAAUUUUUUUGCGACCUCGCACGGGAAGGGUGCUUGCGAUGGCAUUGGCGGUACUGUUAAGCGAGCAGCGUACCAGGAGAGCCUCAGGCGGCCUUACAGUGACCAAAUUUUGGAUGUGGAAGCACUGCACAGCUACCUGGUUGGUCAAUUUCGGUCAGCUAUCCGAUUCAUUUUCGUUCCUAGUGUCCGAGUGGCGGAAAAGAGGCAGAUGCUCAAGGCCCGCUUCGCUAAAGCUGUUGCAAUCAGAGGAACGCAGCGCUACCAUAGAUUUACACCUGUGACUGUAUCAUCUCUUAGAGUUCACGAACUCUCAACGGAUGAGGGUCGUGUCGUGAGCAUGCAUGCUCGGACGAAACGUUCCAAGUAAAAAGUGUGUUUGUGUGGCCGUGAUCUCGUUCCUGUCUUGGUGCUUUGCCGUCUGUUAUUGCAACUGCAAUAGAAAUGCACUCCGUUGUUUAUGGCUUUUAUUGCAUCCAGCGUUGAAAAUGAUGAUUCGCUGAUAAAAUACCUAGUCACAUUACACCACCUUUUGCCUUCCUGAAACUACCAAUUAUUUUGUUCGUUUAUAAUUAGUCGGUUCGUAAAUAUGCUUUGCAAAUCGACUGUCGGUUGGUCAUUUGAG